rnacentral:rRNA from 1 species
AUUGAACGCUGGCGGCAGGCCUAACACAUGCAAGUCGAGCGGAUGAAGGGAGGUUGCUCCUGGGUGCAGCGGCGGACGGGGGAGUGAUGCCUAGGAAUCUGCCUGGUGUUGUGGGGUAACGUCCGGAAACGGGCGCUAAUAUCGCAUACGUGCUGUGGGAGAAAGAGGGGGAGCUUCUGACGUCACGCUCUCAAAUGAUCCUAGGUGGGAUUAGCUAGUUGGUGGGGUAAAGGCCUACCAAGGCGACGAUCCGUAACUGGUCUGAGAGGAUGAGCAGUCACACUGGAACUGAGACACGGUCCAGACUCCUACGGGAGGCAGCAGUGGGGAAUAUUGGACAAUGGGCGAAAGCCUGAUCCAGCCAUGCCGCGUGUGUGAAGAAGGUCUUCGGAUUGUAAAGCACUUUAAGUUGGGAGGAAGGGCAGUAAGUUAAUACCUUGCUGUUUUGACGUUACCAACAGAAUAAGCACCGGCUAACUUCGUG